rnacentral:lncRNA from 10 species
CUGUGGGGGUAUCUCUUGGGCAGUGGCAGCCAUCCAGCCGAGAGAUGCUGUGGGUGUGAGCGGGCAGGCUGGACCAGGGAGAUAGGAGAGAUGUGGCCAGAUCUUGGUGAGCUGAGAGCAGCCAAAGGGAGUGGCCGAGGGCAUGGAUCCCUGAGCCAGCCCAAGUGUGUGGUCCCUCUCAGCCUCAGCUUCCUGUCUGCAGAAUGGGAAUAUUAAUUCUGCCUCACAGGCAGCUGGGAGGAUUUGAGGACUCGGUUCAGAUAAGUCCCUGGGACCAAGGACAUCUCAGGAAGUACCGGCCGCUGUUAUCAUUGUGGGAAUGAAGAAAAAGAAGGUCUAGAAUGAUCCUGAACUUUCCAGCCUGGGCAGACGAUGGCUAUUCACAUUAUGCUUAUUCAUUAACCAUGUUGUUGGCAUUCUGUCAUGAACUUGGGCUGGUACUUUUGCUUUUUCCCAUAGAACUGAACGUUUAAUCAGCCAUGACAUAGUUUAAAACAGUCCCACUUAGGAAACCAAGCUCCAGUGCUUUGGGGAGAGGCCAUUCCUGCCACAGCCCCUGACACUGAGGGAGGAGCUCCCAGAGGGCCUGAGAGGGUCACAGUCACUGGGCGGGCCUCUUCUCUCCCUCGCCCAGGGCAUGAGCAGCCAAGCCAGAGAAGCCUCAGCCACCGGCACAGCAGCACCGGGAGAAGCCCAGGAAUUUACAGAUGAAGAGCCCAGGUCCCAGGAGGGUGGGAGUCUGGCCCAGGGCACCAGACAAGUCAGCGCCAGGGUGGCCUCGGCCCCGCCUCCCAGGCUCCCUCCCCUGUGAGCCCCUGCUGCCCACCUCUCCUAUGGUACCUCACUGCUUCCCACACUGAGGCAGAGGGAGAGACGGGGGCUGGUGAGAGCAAGGAGUAACCCACGAUAAAGACAGGGCAAGGGGGCAAAAAGGGGCUGGGGAGGCUCACUGAAGGCAACUUCCAGGUCUAUUGCCCACUGGGAGUCUGGCCCCGUGGCCUCCACUUUCUAGGGUGAGAGCUGGUGACACCUGUGGAUCAUGCAGGACAGACCUCCACCGGUGGCUGGAAUGAGGGGCACGGCUGCCCCUCACAUCAUGCACCCAUCACCCAGCACAGUCCAGGUGUGUUGUACCAUGGGUGUUAGGUGGCACGAUGGUGGUGAUGAGGAUGUAAUCCACUGGCUUAAACCCUGCCCAGCUCACAUACUCCCUCCUCCAGGGCGCUACACCUGUCCCACUCCUGCUUCUGGGCAUCCUGGCUCCCCACACCCCACCUGCUGUCCUUAAGCCUGCAAGCCCCCACCCUCCAGACCCCACUCCCGAUACUCCACUGCCUCCCAGACACCAUGGCUGGGUCUCAGCUGAUGCUCACCCAUAGCCACCCUCAACAGGCUAGGAGGACUGAGAGGCCCCACGCAGCCCCCCAGGACAGCUGUUGGCCGAGGGAAGAGGAAGAGAAUUGACCCUGAGGGCCCCACCCAUGGUUCAUCCCUGCCACCAAGCCAGGAGACGGUGGCCCGCAGGGGAAGUGCAGGUGGAAGGACAGCAUAUUUUCAUGGACUACUCACUUCUACAAUCGGGGCUGGGGCCUCCAAUCUAGGCCCGUGCCCCAUCUUGGACAAACAAUGACAGGAAUGUGCACCGAGAUGGUGUGCCCAGCCAAGCCAGCCUGGGUGGCCAGAUGCUGGGAUAGGGCCUGCCCUGCCCUUCACCCUACUUUCUGAGGUGGGCAGUUUUCUGGCUCUGGUGCUGACAGGCGAAGGCUAAAGAUACCCAGUUCUCUGGUGGCUGUCCCCACAGAGUACACUCUCGGACACUGGCACUGUCCCUGCUGGAAUGGAAGGGGCAGGGUUUCUGGCCUCACUUGGCAGGAAGGUGGGUAGAAAGAGGUUAAGGAGGGACAGAGAAAGCUGGCCACAUGGUCAGUCUCGUGCCCCAUCCCACUCGCUCCAUCUGCUGAAUGUCGUUACCUCCUGUAUCAAACAUGAGGCCCCACAGCGGCCGGUGUGCAUUCUCCAUAUAAGUGGAACUAAGAGCUCCGCACGUGUUCUCCACUGUCACCUCAAGACAAUCCUCCUAGGGAGAUGCUACGAUCAUUUCCACCAUGCAGAUGAG